rnacentral:rRNA from 1 species
GAUGAACGCUGGCGGCGUGCCUAAUACAUGCAAGUCGAGCGAACGGACGAGAAGCUUGCUUCUCUGAUGUUAGCGGCGGACGGGUGAGUAACACGUGGAUAACCUACCUAUAAGACUGGGAUAACUUCGGGAAACCGGAGCUAAUACCGGAUGAUAUUUUGAACCGCAUGGUUCAAAAGUGAAAGACGGUCUUGCUGUCACUUAUAGAUGGAUCCGCGCUGCAUUAGCUAGUUGGUAAGGUAAUGGCUUACCAAGGCAACGAUGCAUAGCCGACCUGAGAGGGUGAUCGGCCACACUGGAACUGAGACACGGUCCAGACUCCUACGGGAGGCAGCAGUAGGGAAUCUUCCGCAAUGGGCGAAAGCCUGACGGAGCAACGCCGCGUGAGUGAUGAAGGUCUUCGGAUCGUAAAACUCUGUUAUUAGGGAAGAACAUAUGUGUAAGUAACUGUGCACAUCUUGACGGUACCUACUCAGAAAGCCACGGCUAACUACGUG